rnacentral:tRNA from 1 species
GGGGAUGUAGCUCAGUAGUAGAGUGCUUGUCUAGCAUGCACGAAGCUCUGGGUUCCAUCCCCA